rnacentral:rRNA from 1 species
GGCUGUUCGCCAUUUAAAGUGGUACGCGAGCUGGGUUUAGAACGUCGUGAGACAGUUCGGUCCCUAUCUGCCGUGGGCGCUGGAGAACUGAGGGGGGCUGCUCCUAGUACGAGAGGACCGGAGUGGACGCAUCACUGGUGUUCGGGUUGUCAUGCCAAUGGCACUGCCCGGUAGCUAAAUGCGGAAGAGAUAAGUGCUGAAAGCAUCUAAGCACGAAACUUGCCCCGAGAUGAGUUCUCCCUGAGACUUWARGUCUCCUGAAGGAACGUUGAAGACGACGACGUUGAUAGGCCGGGUGUGUAAGCGCAGCGAUGCGUUGAGCUAACCGGUACUAAUGAACCGUGAGGCUUAACCUU